rnacentral:rRNA from 1 species
UACGUAGGGGGCGAGCGUUGUCCGGAAUUACUGGGCGUAAAGGGUGUGUAGGUGGUACUUUAAGUUGGAUGUGAAAUGCCCGGGCUUAACCUGGGACCUGCAUCCAAUACUGGAGAACUAGAGUGCAGGAGAGGGAAGCGGAAUUCCUAGUGUAGCGGUGAAAUGCGUAGAUAUUAGGAGGAACACCAGUGGCGAAGGCGGCUUUCUGGACUGUAACUGACACUGAGACACGAAAGCGUGGGGAGCAAACAGG